AGUGAACGCUGGCGGUUGGCCUAACACAUGCAAGUCGAACGGCAGCGCAGUAAGAGCUUGCUCUUACGGGUGGCGAGUGGCGGACGGGUGAGGAAUACAUCGGAAUCUACUUUUUCGUGGGGGAUAACGUAGGGAAACUUACGCUAAUACCGCAUACGACCUACGGGUGAAAGCAGGGGAUCUUCGGACCUUGCGCGAUUGAAUGAGCCGAUGUCGGAUUAGCUAGUUGGCGGGGUAAAGGCCCACCAAGGCGACGAUCCGUAGCUGGUCUGAGAGGAUGAUCAGCCACACUGGAACUGAGACACGGUCCAGACUCCUACGGGAGGCAGCAGUGGGGAAUAUUGGACAAUGGGCGCAAGCCUGAUCCAGCCAUACCGCGUGGGUGAAGAAGGCCUUCGGGUUGUAAAGCCCUUUUGUUGGGAAAGAAAAGCAGCAGGUUAAUACCCCGCUGUUCUGACGGUACCCAAAGAAUAAGCACCGGCUAACUUCGUG
rnacentral:rRNA from 1 species